UACGUAGGGAGCGAGCGUUGUCCGGAUUCAUUGGGCGUAAAGCGCUUUAAGGCGGUUCGCCAAGUCGCGUGUGAAACCUCCAGGCUCAACCUGGAGACGCCACGCGAUACUAGCGUGACUAGAGUUCGGUAGGGGGAUCACGGAAUUCCUGGUGUAGCGGUGAAAAUGCGCAGAUAUCAGGAGGAACACCGUGGCAAGGCGGUGAUCUGG
rnacentral:rRNA from 1 species